rfam:Schistosoma curassoni strain Dakar, Senegal genome assembly, scaffold: SCTD_scaffold0000835
GCACUACUGAGGAGUCCCACAACAGGACGAAACGGCCGUCCAGUGC